UAAUGCGGGAGGGGUGGUGAGCGAGGACGAACACGUGUGAAGUGCUGGCACCUUGGAUGUUAUGUGAAACGGAACUAACGAGAGCAUAAUGAGCGUGACAAAUAGAAUAGAAUAAAUAAAUAAUAAGUUUAAUAACCAACAAACAAAAACAAUAACUGAACAGAACCAAGGACAUACAGCAAUAAUGGGUUAACAAGGUGUGUGCAAGAUUUAUGCAACUAAACAAGUAAACACUAAUGGGGAAGGCAGCGUAGACAACAAACAAAGUGAGAGUAGAAUAGAUGCGCGAACAGCAGAGGACUAAACGAGAGCAACAGAGACAGCGAGGGUAACUACACAGGGAGCGUGGGGAAAAAGUACAUAGUCACAAGCUCAAACAAGAAGCAAGAUUAAACGGACAUAUACCGAGGAGCAAGGACAAACAAGAUCUAAAGAGAGACAAACAGGAUAGAGGACAAACAAGUUAUAACGACAACCAUGAAUGAGGAGCAAGGACAAAUGAGAUAUAAGUACACACACAGGAGCUAGGAGCUAGAAUAAACGUUUUGAAUGCGGAACGUGGACGAACGAGAUCUUAUCAAAAACUUUGGGAGACAAAGUAAGACCAUGAAAGACAUAUUACCAAAACACAUAUAAGCAAAGGAGUGAGGUCAAACGAGAGCUAACCAGAAACGAUGAGAAACAAUGAAUGACAAAGAGACAAUGACUGACAACCAAGAGACGUAGGAAAGGGGUUUACAUAGGACUGCAAUUAGGGACAAACUUGGAACAGCUGGACACAAAGGAGAGAAGACACGGAACCAUGGAGACGAAAACAGGGAAACCCGGAAAUGACUUUGUUGCCAUGGAAACGGGGAACGCUUUGGUCUGCGGACAUGAAACCAUCCUUUUAACCAAUGACGUAGACAUCGGCACCAUUCCCCCACAUCGCAGUGUGAGUUACCCCUUUCCCCAUGGGACGCUGCAAGGCGGUGGAUGAGGAGACACAGGGAGAGUGGCUGAGGAAGAUGAGGGAGGAGCAGCGAACACUGAAGGAGGAGAGAGACGUGGCAGCUUCUCCUGCACAUAGACAGGUUGUCCAUUGCACUUCCACUCUGUAUGCUGACUCAUCAUCACUGAACUUCCGCUACACAUGGCGAGCCGUACCAGUGAGAGGGGAGCAUUCCGUGACAAUAGCAUACAGCAGUCACUGAGUUGCCUCUGCAGGUGAGAUACCAGAGUGUGAUGAGAUUUGGAUCAAUGUAACAAGCAUGUCACGGUAGACUGGCCAUCCAGCAAGAGAGAAAUGCCCGCUUACGCUAGGGACCAACCCACUUACCAGCAUUGCUCUCAAUUGUCACGGAACGCUCGCCUCCCACGAGUCACGUGGUUCGGCCCGCCACGUG